CAAAUACUCCCUCCGUCUGGAAAUACUUGUCAUCAAAAUGAAUAAAAGGGGAUGUAUCUAGAUGUAUAUUAGUUCUAGAUACAUCCCUUUUUAUCCAUUUUGAUGACAAGUAUUUUCAGACGGAGGGAGUAUAAG
rnacentral:pre_miRNA from 1 species